rnacentral:snRNA from 1 species
GAGGGCUUCGGCCCUCCUAACGUAAAACUUGGAACAAUACAGAGAAGAUUAGCAUGACCCCUGCAUAAGGAUGACAUGUUUUGAUCAGAAGAGUCGGUCCUUCGG